GAAUCAAUGAUGAAAACAAAUCUCUGAAGAUGGUAUACAACUCAUACAAAUGACAAUCAGAGGUCC